CAGUAGCCGCGGUAGUACGGAGGGUGCAAGCGUUAAUCGGAAUUACUGGGCGUAAAGCGCACGCAGGCGGUCUGUCAAGUCGGAUGUGAAAUCCCCGGGCUCAACCUGGGAACUGCAUUCGAAACUGGCAGGCUAGAGUCUUGUAGAGGGGGGUAGAAUUCCAGGUGUAGCGGUGAAAUGCGUAGAGAUCUGGAGGAAUACCGGUGGCGAAGGCGGCCCCCUGGACAAAGACUGACGCUCAGGUGCGAAAGCGUGGGGAGCAAACAGGAUUAGAUACCCCUGUAGUCCCUGUCUCUUAUAC
rnacentral:rRNA from 1 species